GUUCCUACCAGUAUGAGGCUUGUUUACCCAGGAAAGCCUCACUGCAGGCGCGACACGUCCAUGUAGGCUAUCUAGGCGGUCGUCUAGGGAGCCAAGUUAAGUGGGGUGCCAAAUUCGAGGAAAAAAAAUAAUUUCUCAACAUUUCUGACAAUUGAUUGAUUGGACAGACGGACAAAUCGAAUAAAUAUGCCUCUUUAAAAACCAUUAAACGGAAAAUAGGGGCAAAAUGUUUCCCAGUUUACCAAAAAACUCAGCCUCGAUCUGCCCCUGGGGUUUGGGGGGCGCCGAUUGCUGGCAACAGCGGGUCCAGGGCCACCGCUGCCUCACUGAGUGAGUCUCGUGGCUCUUUUUCAGGAGGGUCCUGCCAGUUUUCACAGUAGGGGGUGGCUAUCUAUAAUCCCAAUUGAGUAAUGUGUGCUGUAUAUCAGAAUCUAUUACAGUACAGUAUACCAUUUUGCGUGAAAACUCGGACCCAUUAUCUUGAAGUUAUCGGGGGUGGGGCGUCUUUGCUUAUUAGCAUCUUUAGUAUCUUGCGAUUCACCAACUGUUGGUUGGGGCAAGCCUGACUGCUGAUGAGACGCUGAAUGUCUAAUCGAGCCCAUAGCUUGCUUUGUAUUGAACUAAUACUGCUGAUAUUAUGCACUCCACGAAGACCUUGGGGCCGAUGGGAUAAAAAAAAAACAUUGAUUUUUUUGUUUUAUGCGAUGAGACAGAUACAGGAUUGUGAAUGAGACGUGUUUUUUGUCAAUGUUAUGGACGAAUAGGUGAGAAUGGUGUGAGUUUGUGUGCGAGUGAAUGGCAAAUGCCUGGAAUGUGUGGUUCGGAUCAGGUGAGUGGUGCGUGGUGGUUGAUGAGUAUAUCAUGUGUGUGCCAGGUGAAUGAUAUCUGGUGAGUGGUGAGUGCCCGCAUGGUGAGCGGUGUCUGGCGAUGGGUCAGUUGUCAUGCAUGUGAGGUCACGCCACCUUAUCCGUCCUCUAGUGUGUGUGUCAAUAA